rnacentral:rRNA from 1 species
GACAGAGGGUGCAAACGUUGUUCGGAAUUACUGGGCGUAAAGCGCGUGUAGGCGGCAGGGCAAGUCGGAUGUGAAAGCCCACGGCUCAACCGUGGAAGUGCACCCGAAACUGCCUCGCUAGAGUCUCGGAGAGGAAGGUGGAAUGCUUGGUGUAGAGGUGAAAUUCGUAGAUAUCAAGCGGAACACCGGUGGCGAAGGCGGCCUUCUGGACGGUAACUGACGCUGAGACGCGAAAGCGUGGGGAGCAAA